GGGGUGAAGUCGUAACAAGGUAACCGUAGGGGAACCUGCGGUUGGAUCACCUCCUUACCUGCAAGA
rnacentral:rRNA from 1 species